GGAGUACGCGGCGGGAGACCGGCUGACGGAGUACGCGGCGGGAGACCGGCUGACGGAGUACGCGGCGGGAGACCGGCUGACGGAGUACGCGGCGGGGUGGACCCAGGCGGAAUACCCGGCGAGGUGGACCCAGGCGGAAUACCCGGCGAGGUGGACCCAGGCGGAAUACCCGGCGAGAGAGAGACUGGCGGAAUACCAGGCCACUCCUUGGGAAGGCUUACAUCAGUUUACAGAGCACAUGGGGACAGGAAAGGUGACCGACCAAGAACAGACACGUCAGGUUGGAACCUCACAGCUGGAGCCUUCGCCGUUAAGAUGGCUCAGUGUUCCCCAGGUGUUUCUGCACCCGGACACUCCGGCAGCUAAGAGAAUUGCCGGACCGAGCCAUCUGUCCAAGUACCUUAAAGUGAAGGGCCUUCACGACACCGAGCCUAUUAUAGGUCUUGGUAGUGUGUUGGAGUGUCGAGGUAUAUCUCAAGCUACAUUCUUCAUGUGCGUGACCUGUGCUGAGACUUUCUCCAGCACGCACAUCUGUGAACACAUCAUCAGUGCACGGCACCAGCAGUACUACAUGAUUGCCCAGUAUGGUGGUGUCCUCUACGAGUGGCUGAGGGAACUACAGCUGCCCCCGAGUCCACACCUCCUCAGGGAGUUCGCCUGGAGACUGUCACAACUGGAGGUGGAGAUCGACGCACAGGUGAUGCUGCUGGACCCCAUGUGGUAUAAACAUGUGCAGUCAGCUCCGUUUUACCGAGCCAUGCAAUUGCUGCAGGAACAGAACCAGAGCGCCUUGGUUAUGCACACUGCAACCAGACAACAGCUUUCUCUCCCAGCUGAUCCUGACCUGGAAACGGAGCAGGGCUUUGACCAGAGAUACAGGAAAAUGAAUGAACUAACCAUGGAUCAAACUGCGCCUGGUCAUUCCCUGUGGACAUCAGAUACAGGGACUGUUAAACAGCCUGAAGACCUGUUUGAGUCAGUCCAGAGCCUGCAGACGGCAGAAGAAUGGACCAAUACUCUGAACCCAGAUCUGCCUCAGAUCAGCCAAAGAUCAGAAAGGGAAGAGCAUUUUGUGCCAGUCGGAGCCCAGGCACCCCGGAACUCUGAGCCAGUCGGAGCCCAGGCACCCCGGAACUCUGAGCCAAUGUCAACACAGAACCAUGAACCAGUCGGAGCCCAGACACCCCGGAACUCUGAGCCAAUGUCAACACAGAACCAUGAACCAGUCGGAGCCCAGACACCCCGGAACUCUGAGCCAAUGUCAACACCGACACACCAGAGCUCAGAGCCAGUCGGAGCCCAGGCCCUCCAGAACUAUGAGCCAGUCGGGGCCCAGGCCCUCCAGAACUAUGAGCCAGUCGGGGCCCAGGCCCUCCAGAACUAUGAGCCAGUCGG
ensembl:lncRNA